AUUGAACGCUGGCGGCAGGCCUAACACAUGCAAGUCGAGCGGAUGAAGGUAGCUUGCUAUCUGAUUCAGCGGCGGACGGGUGAGUAAUGCCUAGGAAUCUGCCUGGUAGUGGGGGACAACGUUUCGAAAGGAACGCUAAUACCGCAUACGUCCUACGGGAGAAAGUGGGGGAUCUUCGGACCUCACGCUAUCAGAUGAGCCUAGGUACGAUUAGCUAGUUGGUGAGGUAAAGGCUCACCAAGGCGACGAUCGUUAACUGGUCUGAGAGGAUGAUCAGUCACACUGGAAUUGAGACACGGUCCAGACUCCUACGGGAGGCAGCAGUGGGGAAUAUUGGACAAUGGGCGAAAGCCUGAUCCAGCCAUGCCGCGUGUGUGAAGAAGGUCUUCGGAUUGUAAAGCACUUUAAGUUGGGAGGAAGGGCAGUAAGUUAAUACCUUGCUGUUUUGACGUUACCAACAGAAUAAGCACCGGCUAACUUCGUGCCAGCAGCCGCAGUAACAC
rnacentral:rRNA from 1 species